rnacentral:rRNA from 2 species
UUAAGUUAGAAAGGGCGCACGGUGGAUGCCUUGACACUAGGAGUCGAUGAAGGACGGGACUAACGCCGAUAUGCUUCGGGGAGCUGUAAGUAAGCUUUGAUCCGAAGAUUUCCGAAUGGGGAAACCCACCAUACGUAAUGGUAUGGUAUCCUUAUCUGAAUACAUAGGGUAAGGAAGACAGACCCAGGGAACUGAAACAUCUAAGUACCUGGAGGAAGAGAAAGCAAAUGCGAUUUCCUGAGUAGCGGCGAGCGAAACGGAACAUAGCCCAAACCAAGAGGCUUGCCUCUUGGGGUUGUAGGACAUUCUAUACGGAGUUACAAAGGAACGAGGUAGACGAAGCGACCUGGAAAGGUCCGUCGUAGAGGGUAACAACCCCGUAGUCGAAACUUCGUUCUCUCUUGAAUGUAUCCUGAGUACGGCGGAACACGUGAAAUUCCGUCGGAAUCUGGGAGGACCAUCUCCCAAGGCUAAAUACUCCCUAGUGAUCGAUAGUGAACCAGUACCGUGAGGGAAAGGUGAAAAGCACCCCGGAAGGGGAGUGAAAGAGAUCCUGAAACCGUGUGCCUACAAAUAGUCAGAGCCCGUUAACGGGUGAUGGCGUGCCUUUUGUAGAAUGAACCGGCGAGUUACGAUCCCGUGCGAGGUUAAGCUGAAGAGGCGGAGCCGCAGCGAAAGCGAGUCUGAAUAGGGCGUUUAGUACGUGGUCGUAGACCCGAAACCAGGUGAUCUACCCAUGUCCAGGGUGAAGUUCAGGUAACACUGAAUGGAGGCCCGAACCCACGCACGUUGAAAAGUGCGGGGAUGAGGUGUGGGUAGCGGAGAAAUUCCAAUCGAACCUGGAGAUAGCUGGUUCUCCCCGAAAUAGCUUUAGGGCUAGCCUUAAGUGUAAGAGUCUUGGAGGUAGAGCACUGAUUGGACUAGGGGUCCUCAUCGGAUUACCGAAUUCAGUCAAACUCCGAAUGCCAAUGACUUAUCCUUAGGAGUCAGACUGCGAGUGAUAAGAUCCGUAGUCAAAAGGGAAACAGCCCAGACCGCCAGCUAAGGUCCCAAAGUGUGUAUUAAGUGGAAAAGGAUGUGGAGUUGCUUAGACAACUAGGAUGUUGGCUUAGAAGCAGCCACCAUUUAAAGAGUGCGUAAUAGCUCACUAGUCGAGUGACUCUGCGCCGAAAAUGUACCGGGGCUAAAUACACCACCGAAGCUGCGGAUUGAUACCGAAUGGUAUCAGUGGUAGGGGAGCGUUCUAAGGACAGUGAAGUCAGACCGGAAGGACUGGUGGAGUGCUUAGAAGUGAGAAUGCCGGUAUGAGUAGCGAAAGACGGGUGAGAAUCCCGUCCACCGAAUGCCUAAGGUUUCCUGAGGAAGGCUCGUCCGCUCAGGGUUAGUCAGGACCUAAGCCGAGGCCGACAGGCGUAGGCGAUGGACAACAGGUUGAUAUUCCUGUACCACCUCUUUAUCGUUUGAGCAAUGGAGGGACGCAGAAGGAUAGAAGAAGCGUGCGAUUGGUUGUGCACGUCCAAGCAGUUAGGCUGAUAAGUAGGCAAAUCCGCUUAUCGUGAAGGCUGAGCUGUGAUGGGGAAGCUCCUUAUGGAGCGAAGUCUUUGAUUCCCCGCUGCCAAGAAAAGCUUCUAGCGAGAUAAAAGGUGCCUGUACCGCAAACCGACACAGGUAGGCGAGGAGAGAAUCCUAAGGUGUGCGAGAGAACUCUGGUUAAGGAACUCGGCAAAAUGACCCCGUAACUUCGGGAGAAGGGGUGCUUUCUUAACGGAAAGCCGCAGUGAAUAGGCCCAAGCGACUGUUUAGCAAAAACACAGCUCUCUGCGAAGCCGUAAGGCGAAGUAUAGGGGGUGACACCUGCCCGGUGCUGGAAGGUUAAGGAGAGGGGUUAGCGUAAGCGAAGCUCUGAACUGAAGCCCCAGUAAACGGCGGCCGUAACUAUAACGGUCCUAAGGUAGCGAAAUUCCUUGUCGGGUAAGUUCCGACCCGCACGAAAGGUGUAACGAUUUGGGCACUGUCUCAACCAGAGACUCGGUGAAAUUAUAGUACCUGUGAAGAUGCAGGUUACCCGCGACAGGACGGAAAGACCCCGUGGAGCUUUACUGUAGCCUGAUAUUGAAUUUUGGUACAGUUUGUACAGGAUAGGCGGGAGCCAUUGAAACCGGAGCGCUAGCUUCGGUGGAGGCGCUGGUGGGAUACCGCCCUGACUGUAUUGAAAUUCUAACCUACGGGUCUUAUCGACCCGGGAGACAGUGUCAGGUGGGCAGUUUGACUGGGGCGGUCGCCUCCUAAAGUGUAACGGAGGCGCCCAAAGGUUCCCUCAGAAUGGUUGGAAAUCAUUCGUAGAGUGCAAAGGCAUAAGGGAGCUUGACUGCGAGACCUACAAGUCGAGCAGGGACGAAAGUCGGGCUUAGUGAUCCGGUGGUUCCGCAUGGAAGGGCCAUCGCUCAACGGAUAAAAGCUACCCCGGGGAUAACAGGCUUAUCUCCCCCAAGAGUCCACAUCGACGGGGAGGUUUGGCACCUCGAUGUCGGCUCAUCGCAUCCUGGGGCUGUAGUCGGUCCCAAGGGUUGGGCUGUUCGCCCAUUAAAGCGGUACGCGAGCUGGGUUCAGAACGUCGUGAGACAGUUCGGUCCCUAUCCGUCGUGGGCGUAGGAAAUUUGAGAGGAGCUGUCCUUAGUACGAGAGGACCGGGAUGGACGCACCGCUGGUGUACCAGUUGUUCUGCCAAGGGCAUAGCUGGGUAGCUAUGUGCGGAAGGGAUAAGUGCUGAAAGCAUCUAAGCAUGAAGCCCCCCUCAAGAUGAGAUUUCCCAUAGCGUAAGCUAGUAAGAUCCCUGAAAGAUGAUCAGGUUGAUAGGUUCGAGGUGGAAGCAUGGUGACAUGUGGAGCUGACGAAUACUAAUAGAUCGAGGACUUAACCAU